AAUUUCAAACCGGCCGUAAAAAGUGGGUUUAUGAAAUAACUCCUAUAAUAUUGUUGAAACACACGUCAUAUCUAUUUAAUGGGAUGCAUACGUAACAUUUUAAUAUUGUACAGAUGGAAAUCUUGAACUAUCAUAUUUAAUAAUCGAGAUAAUUAAAAGAAACUACCUAUUUUUUCAUUUGUGUCACCGGUUCUUUUCCUACUUUUUCAACAAAACUUUAAAUAUACAAAAUAUUACUCUGCGAAAUUGUAUAUUUUUUUAUUUUGGUUACACUUUAUAACCAUAACUUCAUGUUACGCUAAAUAGUUUUAAAUUAAUUUAAAAUAUAACACGAUUUCUCUGUGUUUUAUUUAACUAUAAUUUUUUUCAAUCAUUUGUGUCGACUAAACAAAAGUUCCCGUAAUAAACAAAGGCUGUGCGUUACUGCCAUCCCCACUCCUACGCCGCGUAAAGGGCCCCCAGUGGCACGCAAACGUUCGACAAGAGCAGAUGCGCGCUUUAUUAUCCUGGUUUAAAAUGGCGAAAGAAAAAUCUAAGAAAAAUGAAGAGGAAUUAGAAAGGAGACGGAUUGGAAGAAGGGAAAAAUAUAAACGAAUAAAAAACGAUCCCGAAAAAUAUACCAUUGAAAGGGCCAAAAAAAAGGAAGCUUACUUAAAGAGGAAAAAUCGAUAAAGAAAGAAAAUGUAAAAAGACUUGCAGAUGUUAAAUUUGACUGGACAAAUCAGAAAUUUAUAAAAACCCAACAGAAGGUAUCCGGUGGGCAUGAAGAGGCUUUCCUCCGCUUUAUUAAUGAAGGGUCUUUUGAGAAUAUUACAGAAAAAGAAUAGAAAUGAAAAAAGAGAAGAAAAAGUGAUUAAAACUUUAACCAUGAUCAAGACUGAUUAUUAAAUUAAGUUAUAUAGCAAAAUAAUCCAAGAAUUCAUUAACAAUAAGAUUGAAUAAGAAACCAAAAACUAUAGCCCGACCGCUUGUCUGAGACCGUCCCUGAGGUAGCUGCGCAGUGCGGGACGUAACGUGAGAGCUCACUGAUACGUCAACUUGUGACAACAGUCGGCCCUCCCGCACCGCGCAGCUGCCUCAGGAAUGCUCUCAGUUAAGCGGUGGUACAGAUUUAACAUUAGGAGAUAGCCUAUCAAAAAUGACUGAUUUAUUAAGGAAAAGUAGUUAGAUAGAAACAAUAUACGAGAAAUUUAUUAUUUUAUAUGAAAAAAAAGUUUGUUACUAAUAAUUCGUUGAUCACAAAAAAAAAUUGUUACAUUAAUCGUGUUUUACUUGAUAUUUGUUUUGUAUUUUAUAUUGUCAAACUUUGAUUAAAUGCUUAAUAAAAGUACA